rnacentral:lncRNA from 1 species
CAAAUGCUCCUACAAAAGACUGCAAUUUAGUAUUUAAAUUUCCAAUGGAGCUUAAAUACUACUGGUUUGAGAACAAAAAACAAACAAAAAAACACCCUGUGGUUAUUGCUUCUAUGUCCAGAGACUGAUUUUAUUGGAACUUCAGAUACCCUAUACACCUCUAUGGUUAUUUAGGAAUUUACCAUCUGUUUCAGCUGUGACUCUUUUGUCGUAUUUCUGGACUGUAUAGGUUGUGCUCUGCAACCUUUGUGCUAGACUGAAAAGUGCAGUAGUAACUGAAUAAUAAACUAGAAAUAAAAAUGUUCACAAAACUGUUACAAUGAUGACUCUUGGGUUUGUUUCUUAAAUCUUCAGUUCUGAGAUUGGGUAAAUUGACAGCAGCAGACAUAUAUAUAGUAAGUGAUACUCUUCCUGUAGUAAGUGAAAACUUUUGCACCUACUAUUUUUGAUUUGCAUCUGUUAUAGCUCUGAUUUGAUCUCUGAGAGUGUGUAUAUAUAUAUAUAUCAAUGAUCCAUAGGCAUUUCCCUUCUGAGUCAUUUUCCUUGAGUGUCUGCGCUGGUGGUAUCACAGGCCAUCUCCAUGGAAACAACUAUGAUACUACAAUGAGUGACUUGUGACAUCACUAAGUGAAUCCACCAAGAGAAGGAGUGUUUGUGAACAGAAAGGAAACUUCUAUAAAAAACAAUUUAGUAAAUUAAAGCAAGAAAUGCAUAAUAAUGGCUAGUAGUAGAUCUAUGUAAUAGUGUUAUAGGGCUCUUUUUCUAUCAAGAGAGUGAAAUUUUUUAAAGUUUGUUGGAAUAUGAUAGCAGCUCUUUACAUUAAAACACUGUCAAUCUCUUCCAGCUGACAGUGUGAGCAUAUUUAAAUUGCUUUACAGCUACAGUACCAUAUGUUGCAGUGAGUAUGAAGAUGCAAAAUUCUCCAUAGUAAAUAUUCUCUACCUUAAGUUUGGUAUUGCAUGCAUGUAAAAUCUCCAUCUUCCUGUGGUACAAGCUGUAAGCUCACUGUACUGGAGAAGUCAUUUCACACGUGUCUCAGGUGUAGGGAUGGUCAAGAGCACUCAGAAAGGUGCCUCUUCCUUCCUGCUUUGCAGAAGAUCCCAUAUACCAAUUCUUGCUUCCCAUCUCAGAGAAUGAAUUAUAACUACAAAGGCAGUACCAUUUGGAAAGGGAAAGAGGAGUUAAAUCUACAAAUGAGCACAGGACUGCUUAAGUAG